AGCCGGUACAGCCAGCAUGGCUGCUAUAUUCAUCCUCACUGUACUGGAACGUGCCUGCAUUUCUCCUUCCCAACUGAGGGCCCUGCUGCUGUUGGCCCUACAACCAGUCGCUUCCUACAAUCCGCAUGCGUGCUACGAAAGCAGCGAAUAAACACACAGGGCGUGGAUUGAGGAACUGGAAUGCCACAUACUGCAGGACAGGAGCACGCUGCAAACAAAGCUGCAUUAGCCAUGAUUAAAUCCAUAUACCGCAUUUCAUGGCUCAACAAUGCACGAAACCCUAACGUUUCGCAUUAUGAGCUACUAGCAAGGGUGGCCAGAGGAGCCGCUACACAGGGGGAACAUGCAGGGGUCCUUGCACACCAGCUUGCCCUGCACUGCCCCAGCUGGGAAACCUACAGAGUGCACAUUCACGUACAGCAGGCCCUGCUGCAGCGCAUCGAGGAAGCCCAUGCCGCUGUUGUUGGGGUCCCAAGCCGCCGCACGCGUAUAGGUGAGCGGCGCAGUGAAGCUGACGAUGCCGCGGAAGCUCAGAGGCGGGUUGAGCGGCAUGGGCCUGGUGCCGUUGAGUACGGGCAGCAGAUCCAGACGAAUGGGUUUGCCGGUGGCGU
rnacentral:lncRNA from 1 species